UCUUUAUUCAGAUUGAACAGCUGCAGUUUGUCAGAGACCAGCUGGACGUCUCUGUUCUCAGCUCUGAAGUCCAACCCGACCCAUCUGACAGGACUGUACCUGAGCAGAACCAACCUGGAAGAUUCUGGGCUGAAGGAGCUCUGUGGUUUUCUACAGACUAAAGGCUGCAGACUGAAAACAUUGAGGUUGAAGCUCUGCAGUUUGUCAAAGAUCAGCUGUGAUUUUCUGGCCUCAGCUCUGAAGUCCAACAGGCUCCAUCUGACACAACUGGACCUGGAAGGAAACAACCUGGAGGUUUCAGAUGUUCAGCAGCUGAAGCGUUUUGUAAAGUCUUUAUGGUAAGUUCAGACCUCUGUAAAGUAGAGAACGGUCUCUGUGUCCUGCUGAUCCUCAGAGGUUGAAGCUGCAGCAGUUCGAGUCUAAAGAGACUCUGACUGGAUCACGGUGAUGACCUCUGACCUCCAAGAUUUUCCUCCCGUUUAUUUUCUCAUGUCUGUCAUUUAGUGUCUGAUAUUGUUUGUCUCUUUGGAUCUAUAAAGAUCCGAUUCAAACUGGGCUCCAUUUAGAGGCUUCAUGGAGUUUUGAUCUGAACUGGAUUCAACUGGAAAGUUGAUCUUUUUUCUCUCUGAUUCAUUUUCAUCCUGGAACCAGAAAUGGUCUGAGAUGGAAACAUGGGAAUCAUUUUCAGUUCAGCUUUGAAUCAUAAAGACACUUCAAACCU